GCUGACAAACAUAAACCACCCCUAACUAGACGGUUUUGUCCUUGUUCCUUUGACGCAAACCCAAAUCGCCCCGUCCCGUUUGCCCCUUUAUGGGGCAUAAUUACUUUCUAUUGUUAGACGCCUGCAUAUUGCUGAGGCAUGUCUGAAAAUAACCAUCUGUACAAUUUUAAAUGUUUCGCUCCCAACGCACAGUUUGGCUUUAUCUUCGACUGCACCGCAAGAUAAAGCCUUAAUUUCGGCUUCGCAAUUAUACGGAAAUCGAUAUCAACCAUCUGUGCUCAGUUCAGUCGCUUAAUUGUUGUUGAUUAGCUUCAAUGAGAACCAGUCAGUAAUUUCAGCGAGUAUUCGGGAUUUUUUUGGCGUUGAAAAUAUCCCAUUCUUGUCUGUGAGCAGUUUUUGCAAUAGUUUUGUGAUAAGCCAGCUAUGGUUCCUUUGGAGGAUCAUACAUUUAAUUUGCCACCGUUUAAAGGUCCACAUUCAGCUAAAAUGUGUUUCUACAGAGAUUUUAAGCGAAUGGGCGAGGAGAUUGUGAAUAUACGGAUACUGGCCCAAGACGCUUUCAGGCACCAGUUGGAAUGUCUAUCCAAUAUGCCAGGCAUGGAGAUUAGUGAGGAAACUGUGAGAGAACUUAGGGCUUUAGCAUACCAAGGCACUGAUUUAAAGUACCACAUACAUUAAGGAAAUUAUUUUAUAUUGUUUAGGUGUUAGUUUCAAAGAUUGCAAUUGAUCUAGUCAGUUUACAACAUGCUUGUGUAAUAUUAAUUAUAUUUUUCAACAUUGUUUUUAUCGGAAUAUUUGUAUAUUUAGAGCUCUACGCGGUUUUUUAUUGCUGUAGUAUUGAGUGUGUUUAAAUAAAAAAUAUGUUAAAUAGG